rnacentral:rRNA from 1 species
GAUGAACGCUGGCGGCGUGCCUAAUUCAUGCAAGUCGAGCGAACAGACGAGGAGCUUGCUCCUCUGACGUUAGCGGCGGACGGGUGAGUAACACGUGGAUAACCUACCUAUAAGACUGGGAUAACUUCGGGAAACCGGAGCUAAUACCGGAUAAUAUAUUGAACCGCAUGGUUCAAUAGUGAAAGACGGUUUUGCUGUCACUUAUAGAUGGAUCCGCGCCGCAUUAGCUAGUUGGUAAGGUAACGGCUUACCAAGGCAACGAUGCGUAGCCGACCUGAGAGGGUGAUCGGCCACACUGGAACUGAGACACGGUCCAGACUCCUACGGGAGGCAGCAGUAGGGAAUCUUCCGCAAAGGGCGAAAGCCUGACGGAGCAACGCCGCGUGAGUGAUGAAGGUCUUCGGAUCGUAAAACUCUGUUAUUAGGGAAGAACAAAUGUGUAAGUAACUAUGCACGUCUUGACGGUACCUAAUCAGAAAGCCACGGCUAACUACGUG